rnacentral:sRNA from 1 species
AUCGCUUCUCGGCCUUUUGGCUAAGAUCAAGUGUAGAAACACCUUUGGGACUAUAGUAGAAGAGACUGUGGAUUUUGCCUGAAGACCUGAAAUGAUCACAAAGCAAAUACAAAUACUUAUAUUUUGAUAGGUCUGUGGACCUUGAACCAUGGAAAUCUCAUCUGAUAUUUAGAAGGUUUUCUUUUCUUAUCCCAGUACAGCUAAAUGAAAAUUUAAAAG